rnacentral:rRNA from 1 species
UACGUAGGGACCAAGCGUUGUUCGGAUUUACUGGGCGUAAAGGGCGCGUAGGCGGCGCGGUAAGUCACUUGUGAAAUCUCUGAGCUUAACUCAGAACGGCCAAGUGAUACUGCAGUGCUAGAGUGUGCAAGGGGCAAUCGGAAUUCUUGGUGUAGCGGUGAAAUGCGUAGAUAUCAAGAGGAACACCUGAGGUGAAGACGGGUUGCUGGGCCAACACUGACGCUGAGGCGCGAAAGCCAGGGGAGCAAACGGG